GCAUGUACACACACAAAUGUGACUGGUAUUGCCUGGGGGACUAGGGUGGCAGGUAGAAACAGGCACCACUGCUUUUAACUUCCAGGGACGCUCGACCAGUACAGAGAUUGAAGAAAGAUACUCGAAAUAACUUGAAGGACACAGAGUACUGGGAAUCGCUGGCUAUGGUUAUCCCUUUCUCCAAGCAGAACCUCUGGGAUGCGCUGUUCAAGGCCUUGGAGAAAUACUACCUUGUGCUGACCCAGAGGGCCAAGCUGCUGAUGGAGAAUGACUCCCUGGAGCAGCAGAAUGCAGAGAUGCAGUCCCUGCUGCAGCAGUAUCUCCAGGCCAAGGUAAAUUUGGAACUGCAGGUCCCUCCAACUCAGGGCUUCCGGAUGCCCUCAAAAUAGAGAAGGCUGUGCACAGCCUGGUGUCAUAGAGUCUGCACCUGUCGCCUGAGAGCCAGGCCCUCCCUGGAUUCUCCUGAGCUGCAUCUAGCUGCCAAAGCAAAGCAGUGCUGCUCCCUGAAGUUCUAAUAAAGUCUGUGAAAGCUU
rnacentral:lncRNA from 1 species